rnacentral:tRNA from 1 species
GGCCCUGUAACUCAACUGGCAGAGUGGUUGAUUGUCUAUCAACAGGUUGCGUGUUCGAAUCACGUCAGGGUCGCCA